CCAUUACUCUGGCCAGUAAACUGGCUGCUGGCGUACUAUAGAUUAUAUGGAGAAGAGUAGUGUUUGGGCUAUAAAUUUGCCUUUUUCGUCCAAGUUUUUCAAUGAUCGUGAAAGUUUUUGACAGAAGAUGAAAGAAAUAAGGUGAGGCAUUGCAAUUUAUUAGGUAAAAGCAAUCUAAUUAAGGACGUUGUAUUAGCAAAUACUGACCUUUUUUAUACUUCACAAAUAACAAGUGUUGUCUUCUGUAAAAUAAGUGGUUUUUUGAAGUUUGCAAUUUUGUAUAAAACAAACUGAUAGACUAUAGUAUAGUAUACAAAUGUACUGCAGGUGAAUCGGAAACAUUGCUAACUAUGCCCAUAUCAUAGAAGCAUUUCAUCUAUUGUUUUUUAUUCAACCAGGUAUUAAACAGCAUCAGAAAAGUCAUAAAUUGUUGUUCUUUUAUGUUAUAAUUAUCAAGGCUAUAAUUAAAAUAUAGAGACUGAGUCGAAUUUUAAUAUGUAUUCUGGUGAAUGCAAACUGAAAGGAUUGCCUGACCACGGUUAGGCAUGGUGGGAAUCGAACCCACGACCUUUGGGUUAUCACUCCAAUGCUCUACCAACUGAGCUACGAGGUCACGUAAGUAUAUAACACUAACACACACAAAAAGUAUCAUAUCUUAGAAUACAUUGAUAUCGAAGGAACCACACUCAGUUCCAAAAUAUCACCAACUCGAACUGACUUAACCUAGUAGUUCAGUUGGUUGAGCAUUGGACUGGUAUCCCAUUAAGGUCACAGGUUCAAUUCCCACCAUAUAGUCAGGCAAACUUUUUAGUUUGUCCCGGUGUGGAUGCACACGCAGAGUAACACCACAAACAUCAAGUUAUGACCAUGUUUACACUUCAUCCAUGCCUGACAAUCACUGACACAGGCAACACAUCAAUUUGCCUGAGUGUAUGGAAUGUGCAAUUCCUCUGCACCGGACGACAGUGAGUCUAGGCUCUAGGAAUAGACAAUUCCCAUUUUAGACUAAUUUUAAAACUGGGCAAGGAAACUAAAAUAAAUCAGCACAGCUAGAAAGAGCAUACUAAAAUUAGUAAAAUUACGAAGUUUGGUUUACGAAAUGUUGUAAAAUGAGGAAAAUAUAGGCUUGUAAAAUUCGAAAAUUUUUGUAUACUUUUGUAUUGCUUCCGGAAAUUCCUACCACAUUCCUACCACAUUUAGGCCGAAAAUGUCGCACGCAAUACAAAAGUACACAAAAUUUGCAAACUUUGCAAGGCUAUAUUUUCCACAUUUUACACAUACAACAUUUCGCAAUCAAAUUUUGUAAUUUUACUAAUUUUAGUAUGCUCUUUCUAGCUGUGGUGAUUUAUUUGCAUCUCCUUGCCUAGUUUUAAAAUUAGUCUAUAAUGGGAAUUGUCUAUUGUGUAUCGUUUUUGUGCCGAAAGAUUCGACAGUAAUAUAAACUGUUGUGCACGCAAAUCACUGAUUUGUGCACAAAACUGGACAGCUUUUUCUUCCCAUGCUGGGCAGUUUAGGCCUCUAGCAUGACUAGGUCAAGUUGGCAAUGUGGCCCUUCUAUAACACAGUAUUAUCCAUGUCAUAAUUUUUGUUUCAUUUAGUUUAAUUUCUGCCUUCUGGACGUGCUCAAGCCUUGGCAACAAGUACUCAAGUUUCACUCUCUUGAAGACCAAUUUGUCAAUGAUUGGAUCAUAUUGUGUUGUCUUUGUAAUAUAAUAUAUGUAUGCCAGAAUGCAGUGCAGAAACAUUAAAAUUGUUUACAAAAAUAUGUUGAAUACUCUUUCAUUUCUCUCCUUGUAUUACAUUAUGCAAGAUGUGGACACCAAAUAUAUGAGGCUGUUCCAUAUGAGAUGUGCUGGCAUUACAAAAUGGACCAGGCUCCCAUUUCAAGUUUGUAUUCAAAUGUGGAUACAUGCUUUAUUUUGCCAUUCAGACACCUAUAAAUCUAAGAAUGUAGAAGCUAUCCAAAAUUAUAUUGCAAUUUCUGCAUAAUGCUUGCCAGGCUAGCCUGCCUCCACUAGUGCAUGAAGGCAAGCUAACCUGGUUUACCAGGCCAGCCCAACUCUUAUGAACAGCUCUUAAUGUAGAAUGUGAAUGGGUUUCAUAUAAUACAGUAUAUUCCUUUUGUUCCUGGAGAUCUUAUUUUUUUAUAAACUUUUUUGCUUUAAAUUUCAUGCAAUAUUACAUAUAGUUCUAUAACCUACAGUACCAUGCUUUCAUGGUCAAAAAAUAAUGUCACAG